AGUUUCAGUUUCUCACUCUCUCAUUCCCACGCCCACCUCUCCACCGUCACUCCAUCGACUCCCUCGACUCCGACGACAUCCCGGAGAACGCCCAUCACCGCCGCCGCGACCAACACAACGACACCACCACCACCCAUCCAGCCAUCCUUCGACCUCGACGACAUCCGUUACUUCGCCGGCUACUCUUUUACUCUGUAUCCACAUUGUGCAGACGUUUUUGGUGUGGCAGCUGAGUUUUUCUGCCCUUCUCUUGGGGAGAACAAACACACUCAAAGAAUGUUCAUUCGGUCCAAGCAACUUCUCCUUGCUGCCCUUCUCUUGGGUGUCAAAGAAUGAAAGGUGUACCGUGAUAUAGUCGGCAGUGCUUACUAUGUUGCCCCUGAAGUCUUGCGGCGUAGUUAUGGAAAGGAAAUAGACAUUUGGAGUGCAGGAGUCAUUCUGUAUAUUCUACUCAGUGGUGUACCUCCAUUUUGGGCUGAAACUGAGAGGGGUAUAUUCGAUGCCAUAUUGGAAGGAGUAAUAGACUUUGAAUUAUUUGAUUUUUGGACUUUGGAAUUUGGAUGUCUUGGACUCUUGGUUUUGAAUAUUUUGUAUGUUGAUUCGAUCUUUAGAUGUUGGACGCUAUAACGUUAUUUUGGAUGUAUUGAAUAUGUGCAAUUGUAAUUUGCACAGAUUGCAAA